CCUACGGGCGGCUGCAGUGGGGAAUAUUGGACAAUGGGGGGAACCCUGAUCCAGCCAUGCCGCGUGUGUGAAGAAGGCCCUCGGGUUGUAAAGCACUUUCAGUGAGGAAGAACGCCUGGUGGUUAAUACCCAUCAGGAAAGACAUCACUCACAGAAGAAGCACCGGCUAACUCCGUGCCAGCAGCCGCGGUAAUACGGAGGGUGCGAGCGUUAAUCGGAAUUACUGGGCGUAAAGCGCGCGUAGGUGGCUUGAUAAGCCGGUUGUGAAAGCCCCGGGCUCAACCUGGGAACGGCAUCCGGAACUGUCAAGCUAGAGUGCAGGAGAGGAAGGUAGAAUUCCCGGUGUAGCGGUGAAAUGCGUAGAGAUCGGGAGGAAUACCAGUGGCGAAGGCGGCCUUCUGGACUGACACUGACACUGAGGUGCGAAAGCGUGGGUAGCAAACAGGAUUAGAUACCUUAGUAGUC
rnacentral:rRNA from 1 species